UACGUAGGGGGCAAGCGUUGUCCGGAAUCAUUGGGCGUAAAGGGCGCGUAGGCGGCCGAUCAAGUCGGGGGUGAAAGCCUGUGGCUUAACCACAGAAUGGCCUUCGAUACUGUUUGGCUUGAGACCGGAAGAGGUUAGUGGAACUGCGAGUGUAGAGGUGAAAUUCAUAGAUAUUCGCAAGAACACCAGUGGCGAAGGCGGCUGACUGGUCCGGUUCUGACGCUGAGGCGCGAAAGCGUGGGGAGCAAACAGG
rnacentral:rRNA from 1 species